CCUACGGGAGGCAGCAGUGAGGAAUAUUGGUCAAUGGUCGGGAGACUGAACCAGCCAAGCCGCGUGAGGGAUGAAGGUACAGAGUAUCGUAAACCUCUUUUGUCAGGGAACAAAGGCGGGGACGUGUCCCCGGAUGAGUGUACCUGAAGAAAAAGCAUCGGCUAACUCCGUGCCAGCAGCCGCGGUAAUACGGAGGAUGCGAGCGUUAUCCGGAUUUAUGGGGUGUAAAGGGUGCGCAGGCGGUCUGUUAAGUCCGCGGUCAAAGCCCGGGGCUCAACCCCGGCCCGCCGUUGAAACUGGCAGUCUCGAGUUGGAGAGAAGUAUGCGGAAUGCGCGGUGUAGCGGUGAAAUGCAUAGAUAUCGCGCAGAACUCCGAUUGCGAAGGCAGCAUGCCGGCUCCACACUGACGCUGAGGCACGAAAGCGUGGGUAUCGAACAGGAUUAGAUACCCUGGUAGUC
rnacentral:rRNA from 1 species